UUUUUUUUUUUUCAUUAUUUCCAUCCAUAAAUAAAAAAAGAGGUGGAGAUUACAGGAUUGUCUCUACUAGUUCUACACACUAGAACGACUGAGAGAUCAAACCAAUCACAUUCUCUUCCUGCAAGUAUCCUUCCAUGUUUUUAAUAAAAGCUUUUCAAUGCAAAACACCUUUAGAGAAUCUCCUUAAGAAGAAGGAUCAAAUACAUUUAUCUUAUUCAACUAAGAGUUUUUUUUUUCCUCAUUAUUUUCUUUCAAUUCUCGUAUUUAUCCACUAAGAUUUUGGUAUGAACAACAAGUAAAAGUGUAACAACUACCUAGGGGGGAAAAAGAGAAAUUAAACAGUCCUUAUCUUCCUAAAUAGUGAAAUGUACGUACAAAUUAGGCUAAAGUCUGAAAUGUCUCAGAUGUAUGUAACUAUACCACAUCCUCUUUGCUAGCAAAAAGAAAUGGUAAAUUAUGCAUGAAGACUAUAAUCAGCACAUUUUAAUGGUUACAAAACAGUAGAAAAUCAGUCUUUAAGACACCAUACAACUGUAAUUUAAUAUAAAUAAUCAUUUAAAUAAAACUAUUCUGUUCACUGGCUUAAGAGUAAUUUUCAUGAUGACUGAUUUAAAGCACUCCUCCAAAGUGUUACUGUUUACUCAUUCCACGGCACAGGAAAUAUUUUUUCUGCAAACACUGCUGCCAGACUCCUGGCUUUUUCUAGAUGCAGUCACACAGUUACUUCUGUAAACAGGAUCAUGGCAUUGGUUCCCUUAGAUGUGUGGGAAGCUCCUGGCAGCCUCUUGCAGAAGCCACCCCUGUGGGCCUCCUCUGCCAAAACCUUGCCACACAAACCCUAUACAAAGCUCUGGUAGCAUAAAGAAACUGUGAAAAGAGUACUUUUUUUAGUACAAUGUACCUACUUCACAUUACCUAAAGUGAUAGCCUCCUAUUCACAGCCAAUUGCUCAUGUUCUUUCUUUACACCACAAAAAAUGCUGUUUUAAAUUGAUAUGGUUCCACCAUCUUCCUUCUGUGGUGAUAGUACCACCAUUCAUGAAUUCUGAAAGUUUAAAAGCUUCAAUUUACCUCAAAUACCUUCUUGCCUCAACUCUCAGCAGUUCUUGACUUUACAAAUCUUCAGACCAACAUCUUCAAGACAGCUGUGAAGUGUUCCCUCAAGAGUGAAUGGAGUGAAUGCUGCUCUCUAUAAUGGUUUUGAUGAAUGGCGAUGAGAGAUCUCUGAAGGUUGCUCUUAGAGUAUAAGGUUUAUUAUGGAUGGUGAAAGGUCUUGCUUGGAGCUGCCAGACACAGCACGUGGCAAGGCCUGAGGGGAUGGGGGAGGGGAGAGACAAGGGGUUCUAGGAGAAGGUGGAAGAUCUAAGAGAGGAGAGUUCCAAGAGAGGGGAAGAUCUAAGAGGGUGUCUGGCCCUCGGAGACCCCUUAUCAGGGGGCUUCAAGGUGGGCUGGAACAAGACUUGGGCCAAUGGGGUUAUGGACACCUGAUGUUUCAGGGGAGAGUUACAGGUGUGGGAUGAACCGUACAUUUUGGGGGGUUGAGAUGGAGCAGUCCAUUUGACUUUUGGACCUAUCUGUAGGUAUGGGUAUUGUCCAGCCAGUAGGGGGGAUUGUUUUCAUCCUGGCUGUACUAUUGUAAAUCUUUUGCCAGGCAAUCAUAUUUAUCCAUCCUUCCCAACAAGUGAAAGGAACAGCUUUUACCACAACAUGCUUUUUUUCAUUUGUGUUAUACUGAAUGGUAACCAUUUGUCCAAAAAAAAAAAAAAGAAAAAAAAAAA
ensembl:lncRNA